AGCUGAUUUGAGAGGAUGAUCAGCCACAUUGGGACUGAGACACGGCCCAAACUCCUACGGGAGGCAGCAGUGGGGAAUAUUGGACAAUGGGGGAAACCCUGAUCCAGCAAUGCCAUGUGUGUGAAGAAGGCUCUAGGGUUGUAAAGCACUUUAGUUGGGGAGGAAAGCCUAUGAGUUAAUAGCUUGUAGGAAGGACGUUACCCAAAGAAUAAGGACCGGCUAACUCCGUGCCAGCAGCCGCGGUAAUACGGGGGGUCCGAGCGUUAAUCGGAAUUACUGGGCGUAAAGGGUCUGUAGGUGGUUUGUUAAGUCAGAUGUGAAAGCCCAGGGCUCAACCUUGGAACUGCAUUUGAUACUGGCAAACUAGAGUAUGGUAGAGGAAUGGGGAAUUUCUGGUGUAGCGGUGAAAUGCGUAGAGAUCAGAAGGAACACCAAUGGCGAAGGCAACAUUCUGGACCAAUACUGACACUGAGGGACGAAAGCGUGGGGAUCAAACAGGAUUAGAUACCCUGGUAGUCCACGCUGUAAACGAUGAGUACUAGCUGUUGGAUUCGGUGUAAAGGAUCUAGUGGCGCAGCUAACGCGUUAAGUACUCCGCCUGGGGACUACGGCCGCAAGGCUAAAACUCAAAGGAAUUGACGGGGACCCGCACAAGCGGUGGAGCAUGUGGUUUAAUUCGAUGCAACGCGAAGAACCUUACCUGGUCUUGACAUCCUGCGAACUUUCUAGAGAUAGAUUGGUGCCUUCGGGAACGCAGUGACAGGUGCUGCACGGCUGUCGUCAGCUCGUGUUGUGAAAUGUUGGGUUAAGUCCCGCAACGAGCGCAACCCCUAUUGAUAGUUACCAUCAUUAAGUUGGGUACUCUAUUG
rnacentral:rRNA from 1 species